rnacentral:rRNA from 1 species
GUCGAGAAUCUUUCACAAUGGGGGCAACCCUGAUGGAGCGACGCCGCGUGGAGGAUAAGGUCUUCGGAUUGUAAACUCCUGUCAUGCGUGAACAAGGUUGCUUGGUUAAUACCUGGGCAAAUUGAUGGUAACGCAAGAGGAAGAGACGGCUAACUCUGUGCCAGCAGCCGCGGUAAUACAGAGGUCUCAAGCGUUGUUCGGAAUCACUGGGCGUAAAGGGUGCGUAGGUGGCGUGGUAAGUCAGAUGUGAAAGCCGGGGGCUCAACCUCGGAACUGCAUCUGAUACUGCCAUGCUAGAGUACUGGAGAGGUGACUAGAAUUCUCGGUGUAGCAGUGAAAGGCGUAGAUAUCGAGAGGAAUACCAAAGGCGUAGGCAGGUCACUGGACAGUUACUGACACUGAGGCACGAAGGCCAGGGGAGCGAACGGGAUUAGAUACCCCAGUAGUCC